rnacentral:lncRNA from 1 species
GCCCCCUGCCCUGCCGCCGCGCCUGCCGCAGGGGCGGGGGGACAGGCCGGCGACAGGAGGCGGGGCGCGCACGGACGAGGUGCCCGGGGCGGAGGUGGGGGCCGAGGGCCAGAGCGCGGGGCAGCCGGCGGGGCAGGGCUGCAGGGACAGUAGGGGAGGCUCGGGGUAGAGUCUGGAGAAGAGUUGCAGAGACACUCAAGUCCAGGGGGAGGGAGAAGUCGGCGCCGGCCUUAGGAAAGGCUGAGAAAUGGGAACGGAGAGACCGGGAGCGGGGGACGGGAAGGCUGAGAAAACGGGAGGAGAACAAGUGGAGAAGGACACAGAGACGAGGAGCCAGAGCUUUCACGGGAGGCAGACGGAAGGGAAGAAAAUGGCCUCUAUCCUAUAGGUUCCAGGCACAGAAGCUGAAGAGGAAAGAAAGUGUAAUAAUUUUUCCUGAUUCCAAGAACUGAACCAGGAAAGAGUUUGCCUUCUUGAAACAUGAGGUCACCCUUCUUUGUGAUUUCAGAAGAUAUAACUAUAGAUAUUUGUUUUCAAUUUCUUUUGUAACUCAGGUCACAACUGGAAGGCUCUUGUGUUGUAUGUUGGUUUGUUUCGUUUCCCCGAGUGUGGAAUAAUACCUGCUUGGAGGGAGGCCAGAGUGGAGAGGGACUGAGGUUCAGGGUCUGCUCCUGGCACAGCCAUCAUCUCCCUGUGACCCGUCUCCGAGCCUCAGCGUUCUUUGCUAUGUUAUAGUGGAGAACAAAUCAACAAAGGCAACGAUAAAACCCUGUUCCUGGGCAGCAGCAUGGAGGGGGCUGCAAAGGAUGCUUGUUGUCCCACAUGCCUGAUCUCCCCUUCCUCCUGAUUCCUAAACUUCUGUAUUUUUAGCUGAGCACGUGGUGACCCUCAACAUAGACUGUUUCCUUGUCUCCCUUGUUAGACGUGGUCAAUGGAAAAUAAGCAAAAGUUUUUUAAAGGGAAGGGAUGUUUUCUCUUUCUCUGGUUACUCCUUUCUAAUGGCUAGAAUGUGGAUGUGAUGGCUGGAGCAUAAGCAGCUAUUUUAUUCUAUUUUUUAAAAUUACUUUAUUGAGGUCAUACUGGUUUAUAACAUUGUGUAACUUCAGAUGUACAUUAUUAUAUAUCAGUUUCUGUAUAGACUGCAUUGUGCUUACCCCUAAUAGUCUAGUUUUGGUUUUUUGUUUGUUUGUUUGUUUUGCUGGGGAAGAUUAGCCCUGGGCUAACAUCUCUUGCCAAUCUUCUACUUUUUACAUGUGGGUUGCUGCCACCGCGUGGCUGAUGAGUGGUGUAGGUUGGUGCCCAGGAUCUGAACCCAUGAACCUGGGCUGCCAAAGUGGAGUGCCGGCCCCCCCAAUAGUCUGUUUUUUAUCCGUCACCAUAUAUAUGCGAAAUCAUAUGGUGUUUGUCUUUCUCUGUCUGGCUUAUUUCACUUAACCUAAUACCCUGCAGGUC